GGGGUUUUCCCCCCCCUCGCCGACCCCGUCCUCUGACCACUAUGCCCUUUUUUCUCCCUUUUCCCCUCCGCAACCGCCUCUACCUUCUCGGCCCUUGUAUAAUCGAUCAUCCAGUCACAACCUGCCAAGGGGGCCUUCUGCUCCCGUUGAUUCAUCGUCGUCAUCAUCUUAUGAGCUCAAGCCGUCGCCAUCGCGAUCGCCGCCGUC
rnacentral:misc_RNA from 1 species